rnacentral:rRNA from 1 species
CAGUCUGCAACUCGACUGCACGAAGUCGGAAUUGCUAGUAAUCGCGGAUCAGCAUGCCGCGGUGAAUACGUUCCCGGGCCUUGUACACACCGCCCGUCACACCAUGAGAGUCGGGAACACCCGAAGUCGGUAGUCGUAACCUCGUGAGGACGCCGCCGAAGGUGGGCUUGAUAAUUGGGGGUGAAGUCGUAACAAGGUAAC